GUGUAGUGCGGUCAUGUGGUGCGGAGCCAUCGUGUGCUCCUCUCCCAUCAUCAUCGCCCUCUGAGUGGUCUGCUCUCGAACUGAACUGAACCCAAGCAGGAUUCUAGCCAGGGGGAUUCUCCAGCAAGGAUUCUCUCGUCCCGUCCCCCCAGCAGUAGACAGACAGACAGUCACAGAAAACCAGGAGCAGCAAAAACAACAAGAACAACAACAACCAUACAAAAUAGUAACAACAACAAGAGGAGAAGGAAGAAGCCACAACGAUGAUGAAAGGUGGCUGCAAACGCAACAACAUCAACAGCAACAACACCAGCAACAACAGUGG
rnacentral:sRNA from 1 species